CGGUAAAAGAUGAGCAUGCGUCCCAUUAGCUAGUUGGUAAGGUAACGGCUUACCAAGGCAACGAUGGGUAGGGGUCCUGAGAGGGAGAUCCCCCACACUGGUACUGAGACACGGACCAGACUCCUACGGGAGGCAGCAGUGAGGAAUAUUGGACAAUGGGCGCAAGCCUGAUCCAGCCAUGCCGCGUG
rnacentral:rRNA from 1 species